rnacentral:rRNA from 1 species
UACGUAGGUGGCAAGCGUUGUCCGGAUUUACUGGGCGUAAAGGGCGCGUAGGCGGCUCGUUUAGUCGGGUGUGAAAUCCCAAGGCUCAACCUUGGAACUGCAUUCGAUACUGGCGGGCUAGAGACCGGAAGAGGUGGGUGGAAUACCCAGUGUAGAGGUGAAAUUCGUAGAUAUUGGGUGGAACACCGGUGGCGAAGGCGGCUCACUGGUCCGGUUCUGACGCUGAGGCGCGAAAGCGUGGGGAGCAAACAGG